CCUAGGGAGGCAGCAGUAGGGAAUCUUCGGCAAUGGACGAAAGUCUGACCGAGCAACGCCGCGUGAGUGAAGAAGGUUUUCGGAUCGUAAAACUCUGUUGGUAGAGAAGAACGUUGGUGAGAGUGGAAAGCUCAUCAAGUGACGGUAACUACCCAGAAAGGGACGGCUAACUCCGUGCCAGCAGCCGCGGUAA
rnacentral:rRNA from 1 species